UGGAGAGUCAGGUCAGCGACCACCGACUGUCAGCAUAUUGCUGUGCACAUCCUUGUCUGGCCCAGGCUCUCUCUUCUACUUAUCUGGGAGCAGAGGAUGGAUACGGAUGUGUGAGUGGAAGGAAGUACUUGUGAAGCAGGGCGCGGCAGACUCGUCCCUCAUCACGCCUCUGGUGAGCACAGAGAAGCUCGGCACUGUCACCAUCAAUGACAAGAGGGGAUAACUGAUGUGCCAGGAGUGUUGGCCAGCCCAGGGGACCAUGACCGGAUGGAUUUGGACCUCCAGAGGCAGGUCACACUUAGGAAAAAGAUUCUUAAACACUGCUCUGGAACUCUCGACUCUAGUGUGAAUAAAGAAUAGCACACCUGCUCUACCAUUCAGAAACCUAAAGUUCAGAGAGAAGAAGCAAGAUGAAAGGCGUUUUAAAGAUAAAUGGUAAAACUGAACUGGAAAUCCAUCUGGCCAGCUGCCUGCUCUAAUGAAUAACCCCACUUUGGCUCGUGCAAUGUAAGCAGAAAGUUCUCUCCCGGCCUCUUUCGUCUGUCAUGAAUCUACGAGACAGCCGACAUAAUAUCUGGGCGACAGCGGUGCGCUAACAGCGCAGUGACUUCCAUUUUCUUUGCUUUCUAUUGAUUUUCACUUAAUAACUGGCGAAAUACUAAACGUCCGCCCUGAGUACCUAAUAAAUCCUGCCUGAGCUUUUUAUUGAGGAGAAUUUAAUAAAAACAACCAUUGCGGCAGAGGGAUUUUUCUUCUGGACAGAACAGAGGGGUAGGGGACAGCGGGGUUGGGGCAAGAGGAAGCCAUUUGAUUUUUUUUUUUUUUUUGAAAUGGGACUUGCUCCCCUUUGGAAAAGCAGUACCAUGUCAAGGAUGCCCUAGUGUUUGAACCAGGUUCCUUCAGAAAUUCACUACAUGCGGGCUCUGUGGCCAACAUGAGGAAAGGAUUCAAGGGCUUGGCAAAAACCAGCUUUCUGGUCCUCUGACACCUGAUGUCAAGGUUUGGCCAAGGAUUUCCUCACUGUUACCAGUGGCUGUCAAAAAUCUAUAAGAACAUGCUAUUUUACUAUACUAUUUAACCCUUAUUUUGGAUCUGAUACUAUUGUAGAAAUGCAAGCAUGACAUGCCCAUUGGAGUCCUCAUCUACCUUUAACAGAACUCUAGAUAUUAAGACAAGUGGUAAACAUCUGAGGGGCAAAGGCACAUACAAAUUUUUCCAUUUUAUGCUAACUUGAGGCUCACAAAUUCACUUUUGGGGCAAAGUUCUUUCUUGGUGGCUUUUUAAAACCCAAAGAAAAUUGGAAAGCAUGGGUUCUGUGUCCCUCACCAUCUUCCU